rnacentral:rRNA from 1 species
UUGGUAACCGAUAGCAAAAAAGUACCGUGAGGGAAAGGUGAAAAAUGCGUUUAUAAUAGUGUGAAAAUACCUGAAACUUAUUGUUUACAAACUGUUGAAGUUUUUUAAAACGACAGCUUACCUUUUGUAUAAUGGGCUAGUGAGUUUUUUAAGAUGGCGAGCUUAAAUUAUUCUGUGGAAGCGUAGAGAAAUCAAAUACUAACAAUGUUUUUCAGUCAUUUUAAUAAGACCCGAAACUGAGUGAUCUAACCAUGAACAGGUUGAAAAUAAUUUAGUAAUAAAUGUUGGAGGACCGAACUCGUGUAUGUGGAAAAAUACUGAGAUGAUUUGUGGUUAGGAGUGAAAGGCUAAUCAAACUCAGA